AAAGUGCGAUAAGCACUGUGAAUUGCAGAAUUCAGCGAAUCAGUAGAUCUCUCAACGCAAAUGGUGCUAGGUGAACUUGUUCACUUGGCAGGCAUGCUUCAGCGUUGCAUUUAUUGCACUCACCCUGCAUUUUUGUCGGCAACGACGAUUGGUUCGCUAAGUUAUACUGGCGAAUGGGAAAUGCUCAACAUUAUUAACUCGUUAAGAAUGUGCAGAGCAACUCACGAAUCAACCUGAGGUAUGUCAGAUUACCCGCUGAACUUAA
rnacentral:misc_RNA from 1 species